rnacentral:rRNA from 1 species
AUGGCGGCGGCGGCGGCGGCGGCGGCGGCGAGGAAGAGCGUGUGCGUGACCGGCGCAGGGGGCUUCGUCGCCUCGUGGCUCGUCAAGCUCCUCCUCUCUAAGGGCCACUACGCGGUCCGCGGCACCGUGCGCGAUCCCGGUAAUGCUAAGAAUGCUCACCUUAAGGCGCUAGAAGGUGCUGGGGAAAGGUUGGAGCUGCUCAGCGCCGACCUGCUGAACUACGACAGCAUUGCGUCAGCGGUUGCUGGCUGUGAGGGCGUCUUUCAUGUUGCUAGCCCUGUCCCUUCUGGCAGAUCAACCAAUCCUGAGGAAGAAGUUAUAGCCCCUGCUGUAACAGGCACACUGAAUGUCUUGAAGGCUUGCUACGAGGCGAAAGUUAAGCGAGUUGUCAUGGUGUCUUCAGUUGCUGCUGUGUCCAAUAAUCCUAACUGGCCUAAGGAUAAAUUAUUUGAUGAAGAUAGCUGGUCAGACGAGGAUCUCUGCAGAAAGGGUGAGGAUUGGUAUUUCCUUUCCAAAACACUCGCAGAGCGUGAGGCUUUUGCUUAUGCAGCAAAAACUGGGCUGGAUAUUGUAACUAUUUGCCCGUCGUUGGUAAUUGGCCCCUUGAUGCAGUCUACAGUAAAUACAAGCAGUAAUAUUCUCCUUAAUUAUCUCAAAGGAGAACGUGAUACUGUAGAAAAUAAACUCAGGAAUGUAGUGGAUGUCCGUGAUGUUGCCGAUGCUCUUCUAUUGGCAUAUGAAAAUCCAGAGGCGUCUGGACGGUACAUCUGCAGUUCAAAACCAGUAAAAGUCUCUGAUAUGAUAAGCGUACUGAAGACCUUAUAUCCAAUGUACACUUAUCCCAAAAACUUUACGGAAGUGGAAGAAAAUACCAUUUAUAGUUCAGAGAAACUUCAGAACCUAGGGUGGACCUUCAGGCCUUUAGAGAAGACCCUGGGGGACAGCGUGGAAUCCUACAAAGCAUCUGGCGUCCUGAACUGA